rnacentral:rRNA from 1 species
UACGAAGGGGGCUAGCGUUGUUCGGAAUUACUGGGCGUAAAGCGCGCGCAGGCGGAUUUAUAAGUCAGGGGUGAAAUCCCGGGGCUCAACCUCGGAAUUGCGUUUGAUACUGUCUAUCUUGAGUCCGGGAGAGGUGAGUGGAAUUCCUAGUGUAGAGGUGAAAUGCGUAGAUAUUAGGAAGAACACCAGUGGCGAAGGCGGCUCUCUGGCCCGGUACUGACGCUCAUGUGCGAAAGCGUGGGGAGCAAACAGG